rnacentral:rRNA from 1 species
UACGUAGGGGGCUAGCGUUGUCCGGAUUUAUUGGGCGUAAAGAGCGUGUAGGCGGCCAUGUAGGUCCGGUGUGAAAACUCGAGGCUUAACCUCGAGAUGUCAUCGGAAACCAUUUGGCUAGAGUCCGGAAGAGGAGAGUGGAAUUCCUGGUGUAGCGGUGAAAUGCGCAGAUAUCAGGAAGAACACCAAUGGCGAAAGCAGCUCUCUGGGACGGUACUGACGCUGAGACGCGAAAUCGUGGGGAGCGAACAGG